GUCAAUCGACUAAAAGGAUAUCAUAGCAACUCUCAGCUACAAGCAGUACAUUCUAAAAGAAAGAGAGUCCAAUGCGACGCAGCUGAUCGAGAAGACCUCCUGAGUCAGCAAAGAUAUCCAUUCAAGGACAUAUAUGAGGACGAUGACUUGUCAUUCUCUACUGAAAAGUAUCAUAAUGAUGCAAACCAGGAAGAACCCCAUUAUCAAGAAGCACCACCAUCACCAUGGUCCGCUCAUUCCUUUCGACAAGAAGAGGGUGUUUCAGAUUAA
rnacentral:lncRNA from 1 species